UUGGGGCUGAAUCCCAAGACUCUGGGAUCAUGACCUGAGCUGACUCUUAACCCACUGAGCCACCCAGGGACCUCCCUUUUCCUCCAAGUUGAUGACAUAUAUAUUUUAAAUACCUUGAUUGAAGAACAGAUUCAUAGGGGCCGCACAGAAUAGUUUCAUUCAACCAUCUGGUACUUUUGGCUGUUUAAAUUAAAAAGAAAUUUAAUUAAUUAAAAUGAACUAUAAUUAAAAUAAUAAAAAAAAUUCCGUCGCUCAGUUGCAUUGGCCGCACUUUGAGAACUCAAAGCCACGUGUGGCUAGUAGACUGUGCCCGUGCAGAACAUGUCAAUCACGGCAGAAAAGUCUACUGGACAGAGCUCUGGAGAACAUGAAUAUGGUAAACCUCCCACUGACCUAAAACACAAUAUUUUCCCGAUUUUAAGUUAUUUGUUGAACUAUUUAAAAAUUAUUUUAAUAUUCUUAUUUCUGUCUCCUUACAACUCACACCUCACUGAAGUCGGCAUGUAACCACGGGUAAGCUACUUUUCCCUUCUCACGUUUUCCUAAAUACAAUUUUAACUUUGACCUUGUCUUAGUUAAUUUUAACGUAGACCUUUGCCUACCUUCAAUACGCUCUCAUCUUCUUGUAGCCUUUUCAGUCUUUCCCUCCAUAAUUCCCUUCCUUUGUCCUUCAGUUCUAAUUCUCUUUGCUUUUUGUCAUACUUCAUGCGGCCUUUUUUUUCUUUCUUUUUUCUUUUUUUUUUUGGCAAUAAGCAAGCAGCUUGCAACCUUGCUAUGUUUCUGCUAUUGUAUUCCUUAAAAAUGUAGUUCAUUUUAAUGCUUUAACGUAUUUAAAUCUCGUCCCAGCUGGAUUGUAACUCGGAAAAUUGGAGAUCCGGUUCGGUUUUCGUCCCAGUUUCUUGGCGCGGCGCCUUGCUCAUCUUAAGUAUUUGUUUUAUUCUUUUGUUGACACGACAUGAUUGCCGCAAUCAAAUGCUAAUGCGCCAUUCAUAAAACGCUGAGUUGCUGCCUCAACCAAGAACUGGGACAGGCGGUCAAUAUACAGAGAUUAACUCAGCUCUUCCGUUGUGCACAAGUUAAACAAAAGACGGGCUGGCGGCCUCUGCUUCGUUCAAAGGACGCUCACGUCAGCGUCGGCCCACGACUGCGCAGUAAGUACCAGUCUGUAAGCUCCUGCGAGAGUUGCGGCCUCGCGGGAUCUGGGAGCCAAUCAGCGGUGGGGAUGGAACCUGGCCGGCCAUUGGCCGACGUCCACCGGAAGCAUGUGCCACGCUGGGCCUGGAGUACAGGUGUUUGAGGCGCAGGUGUGAGGCAGCCAACCUCAGGCUUGCAGCCCGGGUUCUGGCCCCGCAGAGGGUCGGGUGGCUGCUAAAGGUUCUCCCGGGAGGCGGUGGGAGGAGCUGCUGACCUGCCGAGUAAUGGAAGGCUGGACUGCACGGAGAGGUACCAUGUACCCUGAGAAAGAGGAAGAAGAAAAAAAUAACCCUUACCAUUAAUUGGAAAGACCUCCUACCUCACAAUUUUUCACUCAGUGAUCAUUAUCAUCAACUCGUGAGUUCAAAAUCACAUUUUCUUCAGUCCGAAUUCUUCAUUCUCCACAAAGCAGGGACUCAUUUAAGCACAGAAUAUUAUGGUUGUAGAGACAGAGCAUGUAGCCUGUGGUCAGCUGUGGCUCUGUUCUAAGUAUCUUCUCAUUCUGGGACCCAUGUUAAAGAGGAAGCACCUAUAUGGGACAUUCCUAUUCUCGUGGCAGAGGGAGAGAUCAAAAGCCCUAGAAGAAGCUCCUGAUGAUUCUUCAUAAAGCUUCUGCUCAGCUAUGGUAUAUGUUAUGAGUGCUCACAUUCCAGUGACCAAAACAUAUUAAGUGGCCAAGCCCAAUGCCAAUGAGGUGGGGAGGUAUGCUCUCCCUGCAGGAGGAAUGUCAAGUCAAAUAACAGUAAUAUGUCAUCCUAUUAGAAGGAAGAGGGUAGUGAAUAAUGGCAACGAAGAUACCAUCUACCGUAAACAUGUGCAAGCAUUUCCUUUGCUCAUAUUUUCACUUCAGACCGUCGCUCUGUUGGACCCAGCCUCUUUGCUCUUUAAUUUACUUAUUGCCUGGGCCAAUCACACCCUAGGUGCUAGCUUUGCUCUAUUUUUUAAAUUUGUUUUUUAUUGCGGUAUAAUUGACACCUAUCAGUUUCAAGAGUAAAACACAAUGAUUCAAUAUAUGUUGCAAAAUGAACACUAUUAGUGAGACUAGUUAGCAUCCAUCACCAUGUGUAGUUACAAAAACUUCUUUCUUAUGAUGAGAAUAUUUGUUUAUUCUCUCAACAUCUUUCAAAUAUUCAAUGCAGCAUUAUUAAACUAUAGUCAUCAUGCUAUACA